rnacentral:lncRNA from 1 species
GUUUGUUGGCAGACUGGUGAAUUUGCAGCCUAGAUGCUCUUUCGGGUGAGCAUUUACAAUUGGAGGAUCCCAGACUGGGCUUACAAUCCUGCUGUUUUCUUGCUCCUAGUCGGGUCUCAGCAAUGGAUACAGCAACACAUUUUAAAGAAUGCUGUAUGGAUGGAGGCCACAACUGGAAGACUGCACCUUGUGGAACUAGG